rnacentral:rRNA from 1 species
ACUCCUACGGGAGGCAGCAGUGGGGGAAUAUUGCACAAUGGGGGGAAACCCUGAUGCAGCCAUGCCGCGUGUGUGAAGAAGGCCUUCGGGUUGUAAAGCACUUUCAGUAGGGAGGAAGGUAGUGUAGUUAACACCUGCACUAUUUGACGUUACCUACAGAAGAAGCACCGGCUAACUCCGUGCCAGCAGCCGCGGUAAUACGGAGGGUGCGAGCGUUAAUCGGAAUUACUGGGCGUAAAGCGCAUGCAGGCGGCCUGUUAAGUCAGAUGUGAAAGCCCGGGGGCUUAACCUCGGAAUUGCAUUUGAAACUGGCAGGCUAGAGUCUUGUAGAGGGGGGUAGAAUUUCAGGUGUAGCGGUGAAAUGCGUAGAGAUCUGAAGGAAUACCAGUGGCGAAGGCGGCCCCCUGGACAAAGACUGACGCUCAGAUGCGAAAGCGUGGGGAGCAAACAGGAUUAGAUACCCUGGUAGGAUAGAG